UGUCUUCAGGUAAAUGAUCUGGAGUGUGUUUGCAUAUUGAUCAGAUGCUUCAGUGCUCUGAGAGUGUUUAUAGUGCUGUGAGUUUAACACUUCAUCACUGACACACACAACAAUCUUCAUCAACAUGACCUUCAUCAUCAUCUUCAUCUGGACUCUCACAGCGUUUGCUCAAGAGUGUAGAGGACAGAUCACCGUCACUCAGAGUCCCUCAAUGACAGCAGCUCAACCAGGACAAACUGUGAACAUCAACUGUAAAACCAGCAGUGAUGUGUUCAAUGAUGGUGCUGAUGAUUAUUUAGCCUGGUACUUACAGAAACCUGGAGAAGCUCCUAAACUCCUGAUUUAUUAUGCAAGCACCCUCGAGUCAGGAACUCCAUCUAGAUUCAGUGGCAGUGGAUCUAACAGUGAUUUCACUCUGACCAUCAGUGGAGUCCAGACUGAAGAUGCUGGACAUUAUUACUGUCAGAGUUUACACAGUAUCAGUGGCAGCUGGGUGUUCACACAGUGAUAAAGAGUCGUACAAAAACCUCCGUCAG